UACGUAGGGCGCAAGCGUUGUCCGGAAUUAUUGGGCGUAAAGAGCUCGUAGGCGGUUUGUCGCGUCUGCUGUGAAAACUCGGGGCUUAACUCCGGGCCUGCAGUGGGUACAGGCAGACUAGAGUGCGGUAGGGGAGACUGGAAUUCCUGGUGUAGCGGUAAAAUGCGCAGAUAUCAGGAGGAACACCGGUGGCGAAGGCGGGUCUCUGGGCCGUAACUGACGCUGAGGAGCGAAAGCGUGGGGAGCGAACAGG
rnacentral:rRNA from 1 species